UUAGAUCGUGGUAACUUCAUUAGGAACCGCACGACUUAGUCGAGAGGUCCCUGCAAAAUAAAGUGAGAAGUGGAAUAUUCAAAUGAAAUUAUACAGAACGAAAUUGCUUCGCAACUUUCCGUAUUAAAAUCUGUGAACUAAUAAGGACGGUCCAGUAAUUUUGAUAGCCUGUGGAAGUUUUAUUUGUACCCUUUGGCUAUAAAAGCUUUGGUGGUUUUUUGCGGACUUCAUUAAAGAGCUGACCCUUUCGCGGAACGUCUGAAUAUCAGGAACCUAAACAACAGUCAAGUAUUCAAGAUGGUUGGAAGGCUCCUCCUAGCGUUACUGGUGGCCUGCGGCUCUAACUUCGCAUCCACACACAUCGUGACGUCAGCACACUCAGACCUCGCGUUUCUGAGCUGCGUGAGCACCUUGACUCACACCGUACAGACCGCUCUGUGUCCUAUGUAUGGGCAAAUCGGGGAGUAUUCUAUGGAGGUCAUGCAACCCGCUUUGGACCCUCGAGAGGCGGAGACCAGAAGCUGGCAGUUUCGGAACAACAUGAAGAGAUGCUGUACGAGGCCUUGCAGCAUAUCCGAGCUAGUCGCUAUGUGUUAGACGAAUGAGAUGACGUGUUCAUUUGUAUGAAGACAUCGGAAUAGUGACCGGAUCGCGGGCGUGUCGUAUGCAACGCAGUUACCUAUGUACCUUCGAUUUAUUCAAUGCAGCGCAGUGUAUUCAAUAAAUAUAGUUUUUGUAGUUGUAAGUCUUAA